GCUUUCAUCAGAUUACUUCAAGAUGAGUCAAGGCACUUUAUUUGUACCUGGGGGUAGAUUUGCUUUGGCAGUCACACGAUAGAGGCAUCCUCUCGACACACAGACCACAGACACCACAUGUUGCCAUGAUAAUUGCAUUAAAAUGGUCUGUCUACUCCUGUUUAAGUCUGUGCGAGUGCAUUGUGAUUUGUUGUUGUCAGUCAGGGGUGACAGAGGUUUUCAGGUAUUCCGGUUCAUGCUGGAUCAGGUCCAGAUUUCUCAGAAAAGGCAGGUAUGAGAAAGGAAUGAAAUUGGCGAGAAAGAGAGAGAGAGAGCCAGCGAAUUUGAAAUAGAGCUGCUAAUCUGAGCACCCACAGUAUACUGUUUAUUCAAUCACAUUACAGUAAGAGACAUACAGUGUUCUAAGAUGCUGCUGUUAUGUAUAAUAUAAUGUAUAUAUGCAGUUACCAAUAAAUAAAUAAGCAGCAAUUUAUAUCUUAAAUAUGACUGAGCCAAAUACAUUGUAAAAUAGUCAACAGAUGAUGUUUUGUAUCUGAGAUAAUCAAAGACAUUGCAUUGAAAACUGGAUUGAGAAUGUGUUAAAAGACUACAACCCACAGCAUUAACAAAAAAAAAAUAGCCUACCCCUAUUGUAAGGAGCAGAUGGUACAUCCCUGUCUCUCCUCCUCCUCCUCCUCCCUCCGCCUUCCAGUGUCCUCCAUCUCUUUGCUUUCCCUCAUUUUGCUAUAAUAAGGACACAGUGACUUCCUGAGACUGUCGUGGUUUCCUCCUCCAUCUGUUACUCUUGUUAUCUCUGCAGAGGCUGUUGGAGAGUGAAGCAGCACAGACCUGACCGUGAAUAAAGACCACUCCUGACCAGACCACACCUCUGUCCCUGAGUCCAUGGAAGCCAAGGCCAAGUCCGGGACUCCAGCGUCCAAGACGGCAUCUAAAGCAGAGAAGAAGGAGCCGGUGGUCAAUCGCAAGGCUGAGCCUGCGCCUGCACCAGCGGCGCCUGAGCCUGAGCACCCACCAACCCAGGAUGGAGCAGCAGAGGCUGAGGCUGCAGCAGCAGCAGCAGCAGCAGGUGAAGAGGCAGCGGCUUCCGGCACAGACUCGCUGGAACACCUGAAACCCUUUCUCAUUGGUGGUGCCAUUAUUGCUGCAGGAGCCAUCUUGCUGGGAGCAUUGCUACUGGCGAGGAGAAAUUAGAGCAUCCAUGCUGAUUGGUUCAUAGACAGACUACCAUGGUGCAGAUGGGGGAAGGGGAGCCACUGUUAUAUAGUUGUUUAUUUUUUGGAGGGGGUGGUAUUUCUUUUUUUGGGCUUGCUUUCAUCCAUUUAAACAAUUCAGGUUCUGAUCCAUGCUGUAUAUUAAGCAGAAUUACUCAUAGCAUAUGCAUGAAAUUGCUUCAAAACUGCUUCAGAACUAUAAUAUUCCAUUGCUUGAAGAAGAAAAAAAAAAAAAACUCGCUAUACUGAGCUUUUAAAACCUCUCUGCACAUAGACUUUGCCACUGCUUUAUCUCGUUUAAUCCCGUUUGCACAAAUAUUGACAAUAUCUUGCAAUAUUUGAACAUUCUUGACUCGGAACUUUUCUAAAAAAGAUCGUGAAAAAUGUUGAGAUCUAUACGGGCUGAUUGGAAUUGUUCGAGGGUUUAUUUACUUUUAAAAGAGAGAAAUUACAGACCUGGAGGGGAAAUGUGCAUUGUGAUGUAUUGCACAUUUUGUGGCUGAAUCAGAGCCCAGUUUCUCAAUCUAUAGAAUACCAGAAGAGAGACAAAUGUCCCUGCAUAUCCCCCCAAAAAGGUCCAGUGCAGUGCAGAAACAGACUAUAUAAAUAUACAGUGGUGUAGAAAUGGGACAUAGGGAAUUGUUGGAGACAAAAAAAAAGGUACAGAAUAACAGCAGAGUUGUGUCUUAAUGUAGAAUAAGGAAGAGUUUUAGUUUACUAUAAAAGAAAUCAAUAACCUUUCAUGUCGUACACCAUAACCACAGUCAAACUUAGGUACUUAGCUGUAGCAGCCUUCUGUGUGGAAGUAUCAGGUUUAACACCUGCUGCCAAAAACACAGGAGCUGUUUCUGUUUUCACUGUGCUCGCUGGGCGUCCUACACCACAACAAUACAACAAUACAACACCAGUCCACUGUAGAAAUGAACUACUGUUGUAUAGUUUUCAAAGGGUAACAGUCACAAUUUUGUCGCUGUGUCCCCGUCACCUGUACAGCCACACAACACUGUCCACGCUCAUGUAAACCUCACGGUUAUGUCCCUGUUGCAUAAGUACACAUGAACAUAUAUGACACGAGCAUUCCACGAUCACUAUUCAACAGCCCAGACACAUCCGAGAAUAGUAUACCAACACCGAAACGAACUUCACCUUACAUUGUACUUUACAGUGUACCAAGAAAAAAAAAAGAAAAAGAAAAAGAAAAGAAAAACCCAAUUUUCAUAAAUUCAACAGCGUAUAAAUGCAAUAAUUCAGAUAGGACUCAUCAUUUAGCACCUGUGCUGUAGCAAGUUAAAUGGCAUAAAUGAUGACACGAUAAAAAAAAAGAGAAAAAACUGUUGGUGAUUAUAAUGACAACAGAGACGUGAUGUUCCGAAUGGUGGUGAUGAUGAUGUUGGUAAUGAUGCUGUUUUUCAUGACUGUAAUGAUACUAAUGAUGGUUGUGUUAUAUUUUUGAUAUAUUUCUAACAUUAUCCUUAUGCGCGCUCCCCACUGCCCCCUCAACUCCAACAUGUAAAAAGAAAAAAGGCUGUAAUUUAAACCUUUAUUAAAGGCAGUGAACCAGU